GAGAAUGCUCAGAACUAGAGAACAUCUGCAAACACAAGCAUCUGGUGGAUGAGCAGGUAGUCCAGCUCCAACAUGAGAAGUCAGAUCUGUUGAAGAGACUAGAGGAGAACCAGGAGGACCUUGAUGAACUCCUGAAGAAACACAAAGCCCUCAUCGCUCAGUCCUCCGGUGGUAUCUC